UUUGUGUGUGUGUGUGUGUGUGUUUGUGUGUGUGCACACUAACAGGAGGUCCAGGUGCAGCCUUUGGAUAUUGUUGAAGAUUUACUGCCCCUGCAAGACCUUCCUCAACUGCGUAGUCUGGAGCAAAGGAUGCAACAGAGCCCAGAUUACAAGCAAAAUCUGGUAAACUGGUUGGCGCUUAUUGACGGGGUGUAUGUGCGUGACUGCACCUGGCGCAUAUUGAAGAGGGUGAUUGCUAACUUCCUUGGCAAAGAACCUCAAUUGGAGGGGAGUCAAUGGAAAGACUUCACUGUCCGCUCUCCAACUCGGAGAGGUCAUGAUUGCUGCAGUUCAUAGAAACCUCUUCACGGCUAAAGCUGCAGAGAUGGAGGUCGAGGGGACCAUGAAGAGGCGGCUCCAGCUGGCAUCAGAGCGAGAGUGUGGGCGCAAGAGCAGACUUUUGAUAAAGGAGGGUAUUUACAGUGUUUUAACUGGUGUGUUUUUUGCGCUAUUUAUUAAUUUGUUAAAAUGUUCAUAUUAUAGUCUAUUUUUAAUUGUUUAUAAAAGUCCUUGCUGUUUUUAAGUGGCUGAAUUAGUGUGUGUGCGCGCGUGUGUGUGUGCGUGUUGGUAGCUGGGUGGGUAUAUAGUUCUGGUCGGAAGUUGACAUACCCCUUGCAGGAGAAAGAGACCCUGUGUAAUCUGUUUAAACGACGUUUACGCAUGUUUUGCAGAGAGAUCAUUUUCACCUUGCUGUUUGGGUCUCUGUCCCACACUGUUACAGUGCAGUAUUGAGAGCGCGAGGGAGAUCGAUUUUCUAUCAGAAACAGUAACUAUAUAAAAUGGACGUCAACACGCACCACUCUGUGAGGUCAUUUCUCGCUCUCAACAGAGUAGUUGUGAUUGUUCAGUGUUUACGACGGGGCCAAAACAUUCAAGGCCAUGGUGUAUUUUGACUGUUCCUGUAGCAUAAUCUCACCAAACUGUGUGUACACGAGUCCACAGACACUGAGUCUAUUCACAGUUCCAUGCUGUGUAGAUGUUCUGCUCAUCCUCACUGUACCGUAAAGGUCAGAACCUCACAUCUGUAACCUUGUAGCUUUCCUUAAUCAACACGACUGCGACCAAGCUUGUGUAGCACUACUAUUUUUAGAUCUCCGCCUCUCAAAAGUAUUGGCGCCCUGCGCGUCCGCCUCUCAAAUCUUUUGGCGCCCUACGCGGCCAGCUCUCAAAUUUGUUGGCGCCCUAUGCGUCCGGCUGUCAAAUCUAUUGGCGCCCUAUGCGUCCAGCUCUCAAAACUAUUGGCGCCCUUCACGGGCAGUUCUCAAAAGUAUUGGCACCCGAUCUGAAUUUUGCCACGGCAAGCACCACUCACAUUUUCUUCAGGAAAUGUACCUUAAAAUAAUAAAAAGUCUCUCACUAGGCUGUGUGUCGAAAUAAACGUGAAAACAUCUUGAGCUUGCGUUCACCACAGACCUUAUUUCCGGCAUUUAACCCAAAACCCCAUUGACGGAAGUGCUAAUACGCUGAAUCGUUUCUGGGUUUCACGACUCAUUCCUGCAGCACUCUGUAAGACGGGCUGUUGUUAUCAAACCAUCGAAGUAAGAUAAGCGGCUUUGGUAAUGAUUCUUUAAAUGAACCGAUUCAGAAUCCUCUUCUUGAAUCGUUUGAGUCGUUCUCACUCGGUCAGGGUUGCACGUGUGGGUUGCUUUUCCUGCACGUGUUCACAGACCGUAAAUCCCGACCCCAUGGUAGACACUCGACAGAAAUUUCAUACUAAAGUAAGUAUUUUAUAUUUUCUGGGUCUAAACAGAGCAGAAGUAUUGCUAACGUGUUGUACAGAUUCUAUUGGACUGGUGAACUGUGUGGAUUUGUAUAUUUAACCCAGUUUAAUAUGGCCUGCUUUGUUCAGUCAGAGACAAGUAAAUCUGUUCUAAUGUUCAUUUAUUUUCCAUAGAUAAAACACAUGUUUGUUUACACAUGAAUACGUACUUUAUGCCUUCAGAAUGGUGGAGAUUUGUCUCUUAACUAUUUUAAAUUUGGUUCUCUUCAACAGGUUGUGUUUGAGUUGUGCAGGCUUGUGUCACCUGACUUAAAGAAGGCAUUGUUUGAAGGGCUUGAUCAGCAUCUCCCACGGCUCCUGCAGUUGUACAACACCGAGAGGCAGUGAAAUACCCGAAAUCCAACAUGUGAUGACCCGCAUUGAUCAAGAGUUAGAUUCAGCUUCGGACACAAGUUCCAGGUACUGAUCGAGAAGGAGUGGAUCAGCUUCGGACACAAGCUGACCUCGCGUGUCGGCCUUGGAGAUGAGAAUCACGCCAACUCUGAAUGAUCCCCUCUCUUUGUGCAGUUCAUCGACUGUGUGUGGCAGAUGAUGAGACAGGUCAGCUACUGAUGCUUUACAUCACAACACUGUUGAAUUCUCCAGUCUGAUUGGUCAGAAGGCGUUGGAGACAUUUCUGGAACAGCAAGAUUCUGAUUCCAGCUGCAAGGGAAAUUACAGCUUUAUAGUGAUGUUCUCGUUCCUAUAGUAACAGCUCAUUGACAGGGUCUAGUAUGGCAUACGCAAUACAUAUUCUAAGCUUAAUCGUAAACAUAUUAUAAACAUGUUACUUAAAGAAAAAGACGUAUGAUCAUUGUGAUCUAGUUAAGAUUUAUAAGUUAUCUAUUUAUGGAAGUUUUAUGGAAGUAGUCUCCAGUGUCACGGCAGAGAGGACACUGCACUUUCCAGUUUCUCAGUAACAUUGCAAGUCUUAUUAAUUUCAAGAGUUAGGGGGGAAAAAGAGAGGUUUGUGAGGGAACUAUUGUUUUAUUUUAAUGUUAUAAAGUAAGAGAUCAUAAUGAGAACUAACUCUCUUUUCCAGGACAUUCCAAAUUGUUCUUUGGCUAUGCCCCAUGUUUGUGCAAUGGUUCAGACCGGUUUUUCCUCUUUUCGCAGCUUCAAAAUGGCUUGCUUUUCUCCCAUAGACAGCUCUCUGGUCUUAUUGUCGGUUUAUUCUUUUUAACAACAAAUGCUGUCUCCACAGGUGAAACCCAGGGCUCAAACCAAGAGAAGACAUUCAGAGCUAUUCAUUCUUUAAAGUCAAUUUAACAAGUUUCCUUCUGCUUCUGAGUUCAAAGAGCUUUUUCUCAUCCCCAUCCUGGAUCGCCCCUACAGCUGCCUGUUUGGUACAUUCCUCUACAGCAGUGAGCAGGAGAGAAUGGAAAAGGAAGUACAGGGUAAAACGGUCACUGCGGUCCUACAUUAAGUCAGCCAGAGGACUUCACUAACCCGUUCUAUGUGGACUGUAAAAACCAGGUGCUGUAUCCACUGGCCAGUCUCACACAUCUGGAGCUCUGGGUGGGUUAUUAUGUGCGCUGGAACCCACGCAUGAGACCUCAGAAAACUACAUGAACGUACAAGUGUUCCUAAUAAAGUGGACGGUGAGUGAACAUGACGUGGCUGAAACGAUUUCCAAAACACUUCAGGAGCAGCUAGCGAUAAAGAUUAAGGUUACACCGGCUUGAUGAUUGAUCUUUUAAUAAUGAUACAUAAAUAAAUAGAAAGCGAAUGGAAUGAUUUAGAAAAUCGGUGUCCCAGAACGAAACUGAUGUUUGUGUGCUUUGUUGAUUAUGUAGAUGCCGCUCCAUCAGAAUUUGAGAGAGUUAUUGUUUUUGCGUGAAGAACGUGGAGGAGCUCCAGAGAGAGGCCACGUCAUCCUGCUCCAUCUCCUCAUCCUCAGAGCAUACUUCUCCCUCCUCACAUAGUGCACACUUCCUUCCAUCCUACACAGGGUUGUGGGGAGCCUGGAGUCUAUCCCAGGGAACUCGGGGCACAAGGCAGGGGACACCCUGGACAGGGUGCCAACCCAUCACAGGGCACAAUCACUCGUGCACACACACACUGGACAAUUUUGGAGAUGCCAGUCCACCUACAACGGAUGUCUUUGGACUGGGGGAGGAAACCCCUGAAGCACAUUUGCAGGGACAUCGAGGAAAUUUAGUGAAACCCAGUCAGUGAUCUUAUUGGAUAAUUAGUCUCUAAUGAUUUGACCUUGUUUGUUACGCUGCUAAAUAUUUUCCAAAGGUAUGGAAGUGAUGUUAAGUCAGCAGACGUAUUGUGUGGGUUUGUGUUCUCUCUCCCUCCCCCUGUUUUUUUCUCACAGGUCGCUCUGCCCUAAUUCGUUGUGCUGACGUGCUGCAUGGGGAUUGGAGAGGAGAAGACUGUCCCUCUUUUAAAAAGGAGGACGAACAAUAUGUUGGGAGGAAUGCGGAUGUGUGGGGUGUCUGUGUCUGCGUGUGUACGACUGAGUAGCGAAUGUUUUUCCUGGUGUUUGAGUGAAAUCGCUUGCUUGUUGUGUGUGUACGAGUGAAAGAAGUGAGUGGAAGUAUAUUGUGUUGUCCCAUUCCCCUGGUUUGUCUUGUGUUGUGGCUGAGUGUACGCCUGAAUUGUAAAUACAUCUUUCAUUGUAAAUAUUUCUCUUCUUACUGUCAUGAAAGCUGUAGGGGUUGUGUGGCGUUUAUUUUUGGGCUCUACCUUUUGUUCGCUGUUUUUGCCUCAGUUAGGGAGUCAGGUUAGACUCUAUUUUCUUUUGACAUACCUUUUUUGUUAGGUUAGUUAAACUGAUACAGGGAAGAUAUUGACUGUUUUGUUUAUUACAUUGGCCUUGCCAGCCCUGAAGAGUGGUGCUUUCUGAGUGAUUCUGUUUGUUUUGCAUUAUUUUUCUUGUGAUCAUUAAAUUUGUAAGAUUUGAAAGACGUGAGGUAAUGAGAUAAUGAGGUGUUAACCUCAUUAAUUCUCAGUCUGAUUUGUUUUUGUUUAUACUUUUUUUUAUGUUACACCUCGACCCUAUACCGGGGUCGUAACAGUGAGUCAAAAAUAACUUCCAUUUCCUUUUAUGAAGUUUUGUGGGCAUUGCUACAUGGAAAUGAGCUGUGUCAGGAACACGGUUUGCACUUUAGAGGUGAACAACAUGCGUACACAAGUACGAAGAACAGCGGUGUUUCCGAAACUUUUAUAAAUCCGGCAGAAACGUUUAGUUUAGUUUGACUUGGGCAAACAUUUACACAUAACUUUAAAAAAGUCGGAAUUCAAAGAGACUGCAGUGUAACGAGGUCAUUUAUGAGCAUGAUGUUCCUCCCAGACUGCAUUUCAUACCCUGCACACUUUGAAAACCACCUGAUAGAAGGAUGGUACUGUCAUCGUUACAGAGCAGUGGCACAUAGCAUACAGAGCACAUAGCAUACAGAGCAUGGCCCAGACCCUUUAUGAGGAGGAUGAAGGUGGGGUAGCAGCGAGGAAAACAACGUUCAGAGGAUUCAAGACUAAAAAAAAUUGUGAUUCUGUCCUUCGAUUGGAAGGAAAUGGAAAUACAGAGAAUGAGCAUGCUGCUAUAUGCAGAAAGAUUAUCAACCAACGACAGGAUGGUGCAAUGUGACGCACCACGAAGCUAAACAGGUCUUCCUGAUGCUUUUUAUUCCUUAUACCACAGCAAUUUGACAAUUAAACAUUUUAAUCAUUAAAAGAACGAUAUUGUACUUUUUCUCUCUCCUAAAGUUACGAUGAACCACAAAGGGUAAUGCCCUCUCUUCUGAAGACUGGUGGAAAAGUUCAAAUCUAAAAUCUAGUUCAUUAAACACAAGCCUUCUUAAAGCUGUUUACAGAGUCCACACAAGUCAUGCUUUAAGUACCUGGAC